GCCAACGUCCAUACCACGUUGAAUACACCGGUUCUCGUCCGAUCACCGAAAUUAAGCAACGUCAGGCGCAGUCAGUACUUGGUCAUAUAAAUAAUUUUUUUAAUAUUAUUA
rnacentral:rRNA from 1 species